AACUUUCAACAACGGAUCUCUAGGCUCUUGCAUCGAUGAAGAACGCAGUGAAAUGCGAUAAGUAAUGUGAAUUGCAGAAUCUCGUGAAUCAUCGAAUCUUUGAACGCACAUUGCGCCCUAUGGUAUUCCGUAGGGCAUGCCUGUCUGAGCGUCAGCUCCCCCCCACUCAAGCA
rnacentral:rRNA from 1 species